AGUGCGAACAAAAAUUAUCAAUAGUUACAUACGACUGCUUGUUUUCUGAUUUUGUUUUCGCUCUCAAAACUAUCAUACUCAGAGGUUUAAAAUUGUACAAGGUGAUUUAUUUAAAGAUAUUGAAACAAUAUAUCUAAUUGUUUUGAUUUCACGUGUUUCAGUUACAUUUUCAUAUAAACACCUAUUUGUACAUUUUGUCCACUAUAAGCCAUAGGAUUUGAUGUGGAACACCUAGCAGAGUUUGUUAAGUAAAAAUUAUUACGCUAACCUGUUUGUGCAUAAUGAAACAAGUAUCUACACUAAAAUGUACAGCAAAAAUUAUAAUGCUCUGCAUAUAUGCCACCAUAAUGAUAUAUACUACCUGCGACUGACUCGAACACUGAGUUGAGAAUAUCUAUUAAGAUAAUUACAUCUGGACUUCAUCCUUGGUAAUAUUCAACACACAAAUUGUAACUGAUGUUUUUAAAAUUCACGUGCAUACUAGAGUAGUUAAGGCAGUGAACGUUGUGUGUGAUUAUGUAUAUGUUUGUGUGUAUAGAUGUGCAGGUUAGGUUACCACUCUUAGCACAUGCCUUGUAAUCUAAAAGUUUCCAUUUAAAUAAUGUUAGAAAAACAUAUUUUUAAUAAUUUUUACCUGUUUUUGCUAAAAUGAACGUUGACUUGCACCGAAUAAUUGGAAAUCAACAGGUGGAAUGUUGUAGAAAGUAAAAUGAAGUUGCAUGUUAUUUGCCAGGUGCUCUUUUCUCUCUCCCUUAUUAAAGUUAUUGGCUCCAAGCCAUGUAAGCUAUGUACUCUUGAAAAUCUUUUAUUCUUCCUUAAUAAGCUGUUAACUCCAAACCAUGUAUACUCUACAAGCUUUUUGUUAUCAACAUAACACGUUGAUUGUUUGUUGUUCUCACGCUCAGAUACGUCACGUAUACUUCUUUAUACGCGGUUACAUAUGCGAGUCCAAAAAAAUGCAACUGCGCAUCCAAAUCGCGCAUGGAUUGCUUUCUCAUAAAUUUCUGUCGUGAGCCGCGCGCGGGAUUGCUUUCCCAUAAGUUUCUGUCAUCAACGGCGCACGGGAUUGCUUUCUCAUAUAUUUCUUCAACUAUACGGCUAUUUAUGUAGCUCUAAAAAAUUUAUAACAUUUUUUAACAAAUGUUAGACGUUGUAAAAUAAAGGCAGUAUGAUACACGAAUCAAUCUGGAACAGAUUUAAAUAAAAUUUUAUUUUGAAAAUCAAGUAACCUGCAUGAAGAAUAUUGUUUAAAUAUGGAAAACGAUAAAAAUUCUGAAAAUGUUCUGUACACAUGUGUUUCUUGUGAAAAAACUUUUAAAAGAAAGAGAGAUUUAAUAAUACAUGAAAGAAUACACUCAAAAAAUAAACCACAUAUAUGCACUAUAUGUAAAAAAAGUUUUACUCAAAUGGGAAAUUUAAAUGUGCAUAUCAAGAUCCAUGAUACUGUGAAAGCUUUUAAAUGCUUAAUAUGCGAAAAAGUUUCAAAACAAAUGGGCAAUUAAAAGUACAUCAAAGUAUACAUAAAGGUUUGAAAAUUACAGUUGUAAUGAGUUAAUAAGAAGUUCUCCCAAAAUCAACAUCUACAAACUCAUAGAUUGACACAUACUGAUCUAUGUAACUUUACAUGUCAUAUCUGUAAUAAAACUUUUGUUAGAAAAGAUGUUUUGGAAAAACAUGUAAACUCACAACAUCCUAAAAAUGUUUACACAUUAAUUAUUGUAAGAGAACAUACGUUAACAAAAAAUAUUUGGAAAAGCACAUUAUGGCUCAUAUGUCUGGAAAGUUAAAAUUGUAAAAAUUCUUAAAACUCUAAGACCUCCAGUUUUAUCUGUACCCUUAUUAUAAAAUUAUUAAUUAUACUAUAUAUACACAAUAAAAAAAUAUUUGUUCAAAAACA
rnacentral:lncRNA from 1 species